AAUCUUGAGUUUCACUGUGCCUGAACAGUCUGUCAGGAUCAAACACAAGAGAGAGGAACUAUGAGCCCAGAUCUGAAAACAGGUCAAAAUGAGGAGGUUUCUGGAAAUUCUGUGAUCUUGUGCUGUUUUUACAGUGACAAUAAACUGAAGACAUGAUGUUUAAGACAUGGCAUUGUAUUAAAAAUUAAUUAAGAGAAAUGUUUCAUUUGAGGAUCAGGAUCCACAAUACCACACUUUUCCAGAGGAAUUUACAAAAGGAAGAUUCUCUCUCAUUCUCAUUUGGUGCUUCAUCUGUGUAUUUGCAGUGCUGAUAAACGAAGUGUGUCUGCAGGUCACAGUAGAGGCUGUUAUCGGUUGUUCUGUUGUUCUGCCGUGUUCUUCAACUGAACAAGAUCAAGACACUGAAGUGCAUUGGAGACACAAUGGCAGCAAGAUUGUGUAUGAUAUAAUUAGGGGUAAAGAAUCAGUAGAGAAUCAGGAACAGCGGUAUAAGAAUAGAGCUGAAACUUUCCCUGAGGAGUAUGAGAGAGGAACCUUCUCCAUCAAACUCAACAAUCUUACUCACGUUGAUGCAGGAAGAUACAGCUGCUACAUCACACCCUCAGAUGAACAGAAGACUAUACAGCUGAUCAUCAACGAAUCAACAUCAGAAACAGGACACAAACCCUGUGAUCAAGAAAACCAAGCAGUAGAUUCAGGAGCAGACAGUGUUUUGAAAUCAGGGCCUUUGCUCUUGGUUUGCAUUGUAGCUUUAUUAUUAUAGGGAUUAUAGCCACUUCCAUCCUAUUUCAUUCGAGCCCUGUGUUUAUGAAUUUGGUUGUUUCAUGGUUUCUGCCCUGACCAUCACCUGCUAUUUGGAUUAUUUUUUGUAUUCCCCUGAGACAUUGUUUUUUGCUGGUGUUUGACCCUGCCUGUUUUUUUUUUUUUUUUUUUUUUUUUUUUUUUUUUUUUUUUUAUUGUUUUGCACUUGAAUUCCCUACUCCUACCCCUACACAUUUAACACUGAUUAUUCAGGUAGGCAAGGCUGCAUUAACCAUUGGGCUAGGGGCCCGAGCAAGGAGGGGGCCCACGUCACAUGUUGUCAUCUCGAAAUUAUGGUAAUUAGGAUAUGGCGUGAAUGCGAAUUUGGUUUACAAAUGCAUUUAUUCUAUAUUUUACUUUUGAACGAGAUAAGAUGAUGCCAACCCCACAGAGGACUUCAGAUGAUGCCAACCCUGAAAACAUACAGCACUACCGAAUUCUGCUACUAAUUUAUAGUGUUCUUUGUCUGUUUGAUUACAUCAUUAAUUGAUCUUUACCACACAUAUCUGCCAUAUGUACAUCAAGCUACUACUACAUAUAUAUUGUAAAAAUGUCAAUUUGGUGUAAAGCUGCUUUGCAACGAUAUGUAUCGUGAAAAGCGCUAUACAAAUAAAUUUGAAAAAAAAAGUUGAAUUGAAUUGAAUUGAAUUGAACGACCUGUGCACAUAUCGCAGCGCCUGAUGUCCACAUCCACCUCUCAUCACUUCGUUCUGGCAUAAUCUGGAAAUGGUACGCAAUAGAAUUUAUCUUCGAUAAGUAAAAAUGUCAGCUUUUCUAAAAACAAAGGGGGCUAUCUGAAAAUAAAUUAGAAAAGGGGAAAACAUGAUCUACCCAUCUAGGGUAUUUUACUAAAGUUGUGUAAUACCAAGUGGACCGGGCACAUGGAGCAGAUAAAAACACAGCGUCAUCGUCACCCACAGAUUUAAGUUUAGUUUGAUUAUAAACUUGCUGAAUGUAUAGCCUAUAUGUGAUCAGUCACAUGACAGGAAUCAGGAACAAACAGUAUAAAGGAGGCAGCAUGUCAAACAAUCAGGAGUUUAUUUUAAGGACUUGCCAUUCCAGCAUCACUUUUAUUGGAUUACACUUCUUUGGACUGUAUAUACACCAGUGGACACUUUUACUUGGAACUUACAGCACGCUGGAUUUCUUAAGGACCGUUUUAAUGGUAUGGAACUGAAGGACUCUGUGCUUUUAACAGCCUAGGAUUUCUAGUUUUAUAGUGUUGUUUUGGUUCCUUGUGAAUUUGUAAAU